UACGUAGGGUGCGAGCGUUGUCCGGAAUUAUUGGGCGUAAAGAGCUCGUAGGCGGUGUGUCGCGUCGGUCGUGAAAACCACGGGCUUAACUCGUGGCCUGCAGUUGAGACUGUCUGGCUUGAGUGUGGGAGAGGAGAGUGGAAUUCCUGGUGUAGCGGUGAAAUGCGUAGAUAUCAGGAGGAACACCGGUGGCGAAGGCGGCUCUCUGGACCACAACUGACGCUGAGGCGCGAAAGCUAGGGGAGCAAACAGG
rnacentral:rRNA from 1 species